rnacentral:rRNA from 1 species
UACGUAGGGGGCAAGCGUUGUCCGGAAUCAUUGGGCGUAAAGCGCGUGUAGGCGGUCCGAUAAGUCGGUUGUGAAAGUCCAGGGCUCAACCCUGGGAUGCCGACCGAUACUGUCGGACUAGAGUUCGGAAGAGGCGAGUGGAAUUCCCGGUGUAGCGGUGAAAUGCGCAGAUAUCGGGAGGAACACCAAUGGCGAAGGCAGCUCGCUGGGACGUUACUGACGCUGAGGAGCGAAAGCGUGGGGAGCGAACAGG